GGCAUAUAUUCAGUUACUUUGUACAUUGUUGCUGAGGAUACUCCGUUCAGAAUAGUUAAGUAUAUUAUUGUUACCCUUCAUAGUUUAUAUUUUAUAUUAAUUUUUUCCUACCGUCGUAGGCUGUAAUAAGUAAUCUAAGUGAUUAGUGGGCAUAUAUUCAGUUACUUUGUACAUUGUUGCUGAGGAUACUCCGUUCAGGAUAGUUAAGUAUAUUAUUGUUACCCUUCAUAGUUUAUAUUUUAUAUUA